ACCAAUGCAAAUCGGAUUCGUUCGCUACUCAUUCACGGGCGUGUUCUGGGAGUUCGGUUAGUUGCUUUAGCGACCCGACCAUUUUUAAAAUAUCAUCACGGAAGACACACGUUCACGCGCUCCUUACAAGUACUCACUUUUGCCAGUCCUUAGUGCGUGACGUUAAUCGUGGUCUUAACGGUUUUAUUUUAUAAUUUUGAAAACAUAUUUUUCAAAUUUCGUUUAACUUAUUCUCUAUAUUGUAGAAUCAGUGCAUCUCCCCGUAUUGGGGUCCAAAGUUCGGGUUCAAAGUUCGGCUUAAACUUCGGGCCACGGCUGAUCCGUUGGCCGAACGUCGACAGGCACCGAGAGGCACCGUGCACCGAUUACCCUCUACCAUACUGCAUCACCAUCUGCGGGUCGUCCACCCUGAAGCGCCUCCUCGGCUGAGCGUCAUCAACGGACUUCUCUCCACGUGAAGCCAGGACAGUGCUAGCGCGCUUUACCUCCAUAUAACAAAAUUAAUUUUGCUGACGGGCAUUCGAAUCGCGACCUUGGAAAUAAAUUUUUAUGUUCACAAUGUGGGGUUUAAUUUAAAAUCUAAACCGUCCACACGCUAAACGUGACAA